rnacentral:lncRNA from 10 species
GCGUGCGUGCGUGCGUUCGGCGCGCGGGGCGUGGGCGCGGCACCUGGGCCCGGGCACCGCCACCUAGGCCCUAGCUCCGACCAGUGGUGUUCUAUAAACGCUUAUUACAUCAUUGUGCAUAGGCUUCAUUUUUAAAAGUACUCCCAAAUAAAUACAAGGAGGCGAUGGAAAUUGAAUGAAGAUUCGAAGGAUUCCCAUAGAGCGUGGCUCACUUCCCCUCACCGGGACAGCGAGCGGCGGCUCACCUGGGAGAGCAAAGCGUGGCUCUCCUGCGCCCACCCGGGAGAGCAAACAAUGGCUCACCUGCGCCCACCCGGGAGAGCAAGCGUGGCUCACCUGCGCCCACUCGGGAAAGCCAGCCGCCAUCCUGUGCUGCAGGCAGGGAGCGGGCGGCGGGAGAGGAGCGGAUCCACUUAGGUCAGCGGUUAAAACGUCGUUACAAGAGGCCACCCCGGCAUCGCGGGGCCUGUGGCUGCGCCCCCUCUUGAAUUCAGGCCUAGCACAUCACCUCCGCCCCUCGCACCCUGCAGUCUGCGCUCCAUACAGCACGUGAGCGGGUGCUCAGCAAUGUUCCCUGGCUGAAAGAACCGCAUAGAGUAGCAUGCAAAAAUGACAUGCAUGUUUAAGAUAAAAUAAGGGAGAGGACACCUGUUCUGACUGAGUCUGGCAACUCAGAUCUCCCCGCAGCCAACAUCUACAUUCCUUUGGACAGCUGUCUGCUGUGUAGGGACACCUCCCUGGAACUUUGAAAAGCACCCCAUCAUUACCUUCCACUUUGUUCUGGAGCAAGGUUUCAAAAGAAGAGUGCCGUAUUUUGAUUAAUUUAGUGAAUUGGAUUUUCAGACACAAGUAAGAGCAUCCACUCAGUGGCCUCUGCAGUAAAUAAUGAUAUCAGAUCACAUAACAAGAAGACUGGAGGUUGGCGGGAAAUCUGGACCUGGUGACUCAAAGAAGUCAUGAAGGACCAUCUCUCCAUUCUGCCACCUUCUCGCCUGUGGAUUUUCCUCCCCAGGCUUGUCACUUCAUUGUCGAGAGAUGCCCUCACAAUCCAAGCCAGGCAGCCUCACAUGACCAGAUCUAAAACACAAAGAGGGAGCCAAACUGAGAAAGGACCUUUUCCCUCUGAACACUUCUCUCUUGGAAAAAGAAAAUGUUUCCCAGAAAGCCUCAUAGCCUUCCUCUUAUAUCUCCUUGACUAACUGGGACCCGGAUCCCUGGAUAUCCUUUCCUGAGAAAGAGAGGGUCUGGGGCAGGGGAUAGAGAAAAUGACUAGCAACUAGCAGCACAUGAUGUUUAAACAUAAGAUUUAAAGAAAUGCAAGGCACAAACAAUUUGAAGACUUUUUUUAAGUUUUUAAAAUCUUCACAAAAUAAAAAGGAAUUGGACAAUGCACUUUAAAAACUAGAAGACGUUUCACUGAAAACAGCAUCUCCUAAUUCAUUUCAUGGCUUAGAUAGUAAUAGAAAAUUAUUUUAUUCUAAUUCCAUACUUUAUCAACUAAUUUUAAUUAUUUUAUAAUUACCCAAAAUAUGUCAUGUAGAAUGAAAAUAAAAGAAAAUGAAAACAGUUAUAUCAAGGCCAAGUCAGUUGUAUGUUUACUGGCUAUUUAGAAAUUUCUAAAUACGUGUAUAUUUAGAAAUGACUAUAUAGAUACUAUUUGGGUAAUGUUAGGGAUGGAAAGUUUAUGUCCCCCCAAAAUUUGUAUGUUGAAAUCCUAAGCCCAAUGUGAUGGUUUUAAGGGGCGGGGCCUUUGUGAGGUGAUUAGGUCAUGAGAGUGGAGACUUCAUGGAUGAGAAUAGUAAGUAUCCUUAUAAAAGAGACUCCAGAGGCUGGGUGCAGUGUCUCAUGCCUGUAAUCCCAGCACUUUGGGAGGCCGAGGCAGGUGGAUCGCCUGGGGUCAGGAGUUCGAGACCAGCCUGGCCAACAUGGCAAAACCCUGUCUCUACUAAAAAUACAAAAAUUAGCCAGGUGUUGUGGUGGGCACCUGUAAUCCCAGCUACUUAGGAGGCUGAGGCCUGAGAAUUGCUUGAACCCAGGAGGUGGAGGUUGCAGUGAACUGAGAUCGCGCCACUGCACUCCAGCCUGGGGGACGGAGUGAGACUGUCUCCAAAAAAUAAAAUACAAUAAAAGAGACUCCAAAGAACUUUCUAGCCCUCUUGCCACCACCUAAGGAUGCAAAGAGUUGACAGCAACCUGGAAGAGCCCUCACCAGAACUCGACCAUUCUGGCACUCUGACUUCCAGCCUCCACUGUGAGAAAUAAAUUUCUAUUGUUUAUGAGCCACUCAGCAUAUGGUACUUUGUAGCCCUAGACAGGCUAAGACAGCCACAGGAAACGAAUGCCCUGCAUUCUUACAGCACUGCGGCAGGGGUGGAGUGAUUAAGAGCAGGGGCUAUGGAGUCAGCUUUCCAGGGUUCAAGUCCUAGCUCCACUGCUCAGGAGCCACUACUGAGAAUUGUUCAGAAUCAACCCAGCUGAGGUCUGAAGAUCAUUUAGACCGGAGCCUCGCCCACGAAGUUGAAGUCAUCUUCAAGUAAAACCUGUGUAUUGUUAAUGUAUCCAGAACAGUGCCUGACAUAUACUAGGCACUCAGUGAACAUUUGCUGAAUAAAUGAAUGCCGUUUAAAAACAUCCAAGGAUGCUGUAUCUUUGUCUACUUUGGAGGGAAUGUCUGUAUCACAAGAAUAAAUUUGAUACAACAUAGAACAAGAUGAUCAUCUGACACAAUUAGUAUUUCACUUGAAUUGUUUAUUAGGCAUUUAGCCACAUGACAAAAGACAAUUUGAAGACCACAGAUAUAAUUUCA